UCAGGACUUGAAAGGAAGGAAAGGGGAUUUCUGCAGGGUCUGCUUAACUAAACGGAUUCAUAAGCGAGAUGUUGGUGGUGCUAUUUCGUGAUGAACCAGGUUGGAAUCUCCUCAGAAUUUCCUGAGAACAGCAAUGGUAGAGAUUUCCCAGCACACAAGAUGGCGGGCGAUGGAGACAUGGAGAGCGUCAGCACACACUGGACAGGAGCAGAGAGAGGAGAGGAAGGGAUGAGGAUGACACACUGUGAUCCAGGGACUACACUCUAAGACAAGAAAUGUAUGCUGGGAGGAAACAAAGACUAGUCUGAUAUGAAACUUGCUUUCAAAAGCAGAGUUGUGAUAUUCAAGAAAAAUAUCACAGAAUAGAAUGUCCUAACUGCAAUAGGAGAGGUUCAGAUAAAAUACUACAGAAGUUCACAGCAUGGAGCCCCAGCAGUCAUCUUUUCCAAACGAAUCAUCUUACCAGAGCACAAAACCCUCUCCAAGAUACCACAUCACUAGUAAAUAUGGUAAUGUGGAAUUUAAAUCUUUAACAUCUACCAAGAGCCUGCAAAAUCAGUAUGCAAAGUAAUGUGUUGCAUUGUUUAAAGAAUACUAGGUUGA
rnacentral:lncRNA from 1 species